GGGCUUGAUUCUAAACACAUAUACUAAAAUUGGAACAAUACAAACAUUAACAUGCCCUGCAAAAGGAUAAUACACAAAUUUGUGAUGCAAUCCAUAUUAAA
ensembl:snRNA U6 U6 spliceosomal RNA